UUUGAAACUGGUGAACUAGAGUGCUGUAAAGGGGAGUGGAAUUCCAGGUGUAGCGGUGAAAUGCGUAGAGAUCUGAAGGAACAUCAAUGGCGAAGGCAACUCCCUGGACAAAAACUGACACUCAUGUGCGAAAGUGUGGGUAGCGAACAGGAUUAGAUACCCUGGUAGUCCACUCCGUAAACGAUGUCUACUUGCUGUUUGUGAUUUUGAGCCGUGAUUUUUGCAGCUAACGCGAUAACUAGACCGCCUGGGGAGUACGGCCGCAAGAUUAAAACUCAAAUGAAUUGACGGGGGCCCGCACAAGCGGUGGAGCAUGUGGUUUAAUUUUUAUGCAACGCGAAUAACCUUACCUACUCUUGACAUACUAAAAACUUUUCAGAGAUGAAUUGGUGCCUUCGGGAACUCUGAUACAGGUGCUGCAUGGCUGUCGUCAGCUCGUGUCGUGAGAUGUUGGGUUAAGUCCCGCAACGAGCGCAACCCUUGUCCUUGUUUGCCAG
rnacentral:rRNA from 1 species